AGGGGUGUAGCUCCAACGGCAGAGCAGCGGAUUCCAAAUCCGCGUGAUGGGAGUUCGAAUCUCUCCACCCCUGCCA
rnacentral:tRNA from 12 species